AGCAGCCGCGGUAAUUCCAGCUCCAAUAGCGUAUAUUAAAGUUGUUGCAGUUAAAAAGCUCGUAGUUGAAUUUCGGGGUUAGUAGGUUGGUCAUGCCUCUGGUAUGUACUGGUCUCACUGAUUCCUCCUUCCUGAUGAGCCGUAAUGCCAUUAAUUUGGUGUUGCAGGGGAUCAGGACUGUUACUUUGAAAAAUUAGAGUGUUUAAAGCAGGCUUUAGCUUGAAUACAUUAGCAUGGAAUAAUGAAAUAGGACGUUUGAUCCUAUUUUGUUGGUUUCUAGGAUUGACGUAAUGAUUAAUAGGGAUAGUUGGGGCAUUAGUAUUCAAUUGUCAGAGGUGAAAUUCUUGGAUUUAUUGAAGACUAACUACUGCGAAAGCAUUUGCCAAGGAUGUUUUCAUUAAUCAAGAACGAAAGUUAGGGGAUCGAAGACGAUCAGAUACCGUCGUAGUCUUAACC
rnacentral:rRNA from 1 species